rnacentral:rRNA from 1 species
GACGAACGCUGGCGGCGUGCUUAACACAUGCAAGUCGAACGGAAAGGCCCUGCUUUUGUGGGGUGCUCGAGUGGCGAACGGGUGAGUAACACGUGAGUAACCUGCCCUUGACUUUGGGAUAACUUCAGGAAACUGGGGCUAAUACCGGAUAGGAGCUCCUGCUGCAUGGUGGGGGUUGGAAAGUUUCGGCGGUUGGGGAUGGACUCGCGGCUUAUCAGCUUGUUGGUGGGGUAGUGGCUUACCAAGGCUUUGACGGGUAGCCGGCCUGAGAGGGUGACCGGGCACCAUGGGGGUGAGGUACGGCCCAGAAGACUACGGGGGGCAGCAGGGGGGAAGAAUGCAGAACGGGGGGAAGGCUGGUGAAGCAACGCCGCGGGGGGGGUGAUGGCGGUCGGGGUGUUAAACCCUUUUGCCCGGGGAGAAGAGGGGGGGGAGGGAAUGGGGGAAAAAGAAACGGCUAAAUACGUG